UAGGGAAUCUUCCGCAAUGGGCGAAAGCCUGACGGAGCAACGCCGCGUGAGUGAUGAAGGUCUUCGGAUCGUAAAACUCUGUUAUUAGGGAAGAACAAAUGUGUAAGUAACUAUGCACGUCUUGACGGUACCUAAUCAGAAAGCCACGGCUAACUACGUGCCAGCAGCCGCGGUAAUACGUAGGGCGCAAGCGUUAUCCGGAAUUAUUGGGCGUAAAGAGCUUGUAGGCGGUUCGUCGCGUCUGGUGUGAAAGCCCAUCGCUUAACGGUGGGUUUGCGCCGGGUACGGGCGGGCUAGAGUGCAGUAGGGGAGACUGGAAUUCUCGGUGUAACGGUGGAAUGUGUAGAUAUCGGGAAGAACACCAAUGGCGAAGGCAGGUCUCUGGGCUGUUACUGACGCUGAGAAGCGAAAGCGUGGGGAGCGAACAGG
rnacentral:rRNA from 1 species